rnacentral:rRNA from 1 species
CCGAACCGACUAAUGUUGAAAAAUUAGCGGAUGACCUGUGGCUGGGGGUGAAAGGCCAAUCAAACCGGGAGAUAGCUGGUUCUCCCCGAAAGCUAUUUAGGUAGCGCCUCGUGAAUUCAUCUCCGGGGGUAGAGCACUGUUUCGGCUAGGGGGCCAUCCCGGCUUACCAACCCGAUGCAAACUGCGAAUACCGGAGAAUGUUAUCACGGGAGACACACGGCGGGUGCUAACGUCCGUCGUGAAGAGGGAAACAACCCAGACCGCCAGCUAAGGUCCCAAAGUCAUGGUUAAGUGGGAAACGAUGUGGGAAGGCCCAGACAGCCAGGAUGUUGGCUUAGAAGCAGCCAUCAUUUAAAGAAAGCGUAAUAGCUCACUGGUCGAGUCGGCCUGCGCGGAAGAUGUAACGGGGCUAAACCAUGCACCGAAGCUGCGGCAGCGACACUGUGUGUUGUUGGGUAGGGGAGCGUUCUGUAAGCCUGUGAAGGUGUGUCGUGAGGCAUGCUGGAGGUAUCAGAAGUGCGAAUGCUGACAUAAGUA